rnacentral:rRNA from 1 species
UGAAUGACUCUCGGCAACGGAUAUCUUGGCUCUCGCAUCGAUGAAGAACGCAGCGAAAUGUGAUACGUGGUGUGAAUUGCAGAAUCCCGUGAACCAUUGAAUUUUUGAACGCAAGUUGCGCCCAAUGCCUUUUAUAGGUUGAGGGCAUGCCUGCCUGGGUGUCAUUC